GACGAACGCUGGCGGCGUGCUUAACACAUGCAAGUCGAACGGAAAGGCCCUGCUUUUGUGGGGUGCUCGAGUGGCGAACGGGUGAGUAACACGUGAGUAACCUGCCCUUGACUUUGGGAUAACUUCAGGAAACUGGGGCUAAUACCGGAUAGGAGCUCCUGCUGCAUGGUGGGGGUUGGAAAGUUUCGGCGGUUGGGGAUGGACUCGCGGCUUAUCAGCUUGUUGGUGGGGUAGUGGCUUACCAAGGCUUUGACGGGUAGCCGGCCUGAGAGGGUGACCGGCCACAUUGGGACUGAGAUACGGCCCAGACUCCUACGGGAGGCAGCAGGGGGGAGUAUUGCACAAUGGGCGGAAGCCUGAGGCAGCAACGCCGCGUGCGGGAUGACGGCCUUCGGGUUGUAAACCGCUUUCGCCUGUGACGAAGCGUGAGUGACGGUAAUGGGUAAAGAAGCACCGGCUAACUACGUG
rnacentral:rRNA from 1 species